UUGGCAGUUGUGUCAGGUAGUGGGUUUAGCAUACUUAUACAGUUUUAUAGCACCCCUUGCAGUUAUUUCAGAAGCACCAUUGGCAUCAGUGUCAGCAACACAUUCUUCAGUUGCAACAGGUAAAGUGAAUUUUAGUCGUUUUUAAAAUUAAUAUGUUAGUCGUUUUAUGCAGAAUUUAU